rnacentral:piRNA from 1 species
UGCAGAGUCACAGCCCAUACCACAGAC